rnacentral:rRNA from 1 species
UACGUAGGGUGCGAGCGUUGUCCGGAAUUAUUGGGCGUAAAGGGCUCGUAGGCGGUUUGUCGCGUCGGGAGUGAAAACCAGGGGCUCAACCCCUGGCCUGCAGCCCGAUACGGGCAGGCUAGAGUUCGGUAGGGGAGACUGGAAUUCCUGGUGUAGCGGUGAAAUGCGCAGAUAUCAGGAGGAACACCGGAUGGCGAAGGCAGGUCUCUGGGCCGAUACUGACGCUGAGGAGCGAAAGCGUGGGGAGCGAACAGG